rnacentral:tRNA from 1 species
UCCUUGGUGGUUCAGUGGGUUAAGGACCCCGCAUUGUCACUGCUCUGGUGCAGGUUCGAUCCCUGGCCCAGGAC